GCCCACGUGGCGCAGUCGGUAGCGCACGUCCUUGGUAAGGACGGGGUCGCCGGUUCGAGUCCGGUCGUGGGCUCCA
rnacentral:tRNA from 2 species